rnacentral:rRNA from 1 species
CAUGAAGUCGGAGUUGCUAGUAAUCGCGGAUCAGAAUGCCGCGGUGAAUGCGUUCCCGGGGUCUUGUACACACCGCCCGUCACACCAUGGAAGUUGGGGGCGCCCGAAGUUGCCUAAGAAAUAAGGUACCUAAGGCGAAACCAAUGACUGGGGUGAAGUCGUAACAAGGUAGC